ACCACUUUAAAUCAAUGGCUGCCGGGACGUUUGACGAGUGACAUCCUAUGCUGCAGGGACGUCACUCGAUGGACGCCCAGGCUGUUGGGGCCACAAAAUGAUGUUACAAAUAUCAAGCGUCUGGAUAGGAGAAACAAAUAUAACGCACCCAUAGGGAGUAGCGCCAUUUUGUAAAAAAUGCAAAAAAAAAAUCCCUUAGAUAACAGUCAUGCAGAAUAUGUAAAAAAGCUUUUUUUUAGGUUUCAGCCAAUCAGAGAGCAGCACUGCUCAAAUAGAACUCCCAGGAGGUAGCAGCGUGUCACACAUGUGAUGUCAUAACCAUUGUCCACCAGAGAGCAGCACUGAGCAGAUAUAACACUGCUCCUGCUCAUUCUUCACCAGUGAGGGGCCGGUGCUGGACACUGUAGGGACGCGGGAAUGUGAAGUCAAAAACAUGACUGUGACUGAUGCACUAUUUCCAGCAUGUGGAGUAGCAUUUCCGGACUUACUGCAAGAAGUUGGAUGAUGGCCUAGAUUUCCGGACUUACAGCAAGACGUUGGAUGAAGGCCUAGAUUUCCGGACCUACAGCAAGAAGUUGGAUGAAGGCACAGCCCCUCAAAUCACGCACAUACACAGACACAUUUGCCCAAAUUCUAGAGGUAACCUCCUUUAGUAUGCCCAGAGGAAGGGCAAUACAGUAGCCAUGGAUUCCCUACAGGUUUCCUCCCCUCUGGAGGUUUUUCCUGUCCUGAGUUAGUUACUGUACGCUCUUUGUGAGUGAUGGGAGGUUACAAAAAAUCCCCUACACAAACAUUUUAAUAAAUAAUAAAUAAAGUUUCCCUUUUUUAAACUGUU